rnacentral:rRNA from 1 species
GCCAUAGAAGGUGAUAGCCCUGUAUCUGAAAGGGCCAUUUCAGUGAAGACGAGUAGGGCGGGGCACGUGAAACCCUGUCUGAACAUGGGGGGACCAUCCUCCAAGGCUAAAUACUACUGACCGACCGAUAGUGAACCAGUACCGUGAGGGAAAGGCGAAAAGAACCCCGGAGAGGGGAGUGAAAUAGAUCCUGAAACCGUGUGCGUACAAGCAGUAGGAGCCUCGCAAGGGGUGACUGCGUACCUUUUGUAUAAUGGGUCAGCGACUUACUGUUCGUGGCAAGCUUAACCGUAUAGGGGAGGCGAAGGGAAACCGAGUCUGAUAAGGGCGCAUAGUCGCGGGCAGUAGACCCGAAACCGGGUGAUCUAGUCAUGGCCAGGGUGAAGGUGCCGUAACAGGUACUGGAGGCCCGAACCCACGUCUGUUGCAAAAGACGGGGAUGAGCUGUGAUUAGGAGUGAAAAGCUAAUCGAACCCGGAGAUAGCUGGUUCUCCUCGAAAGCUAUUUAGGUAGCGCCUCAUAUGUAUCCUCUCGGGGGUAGAGCACUGUUAUGGCUAGGGGGUCAUCGCGACUUACCAAACCAUUGCAAACUCCGAAUACCGAGACGGACUGUAUGGGAGACACACGGCGGGUGCUAACGUCCGUCGUGAAAAGGGAAACAACCCAGACCCACAGCUAAGGUCCCAAAUUUUGUGCUAAGUGGAAAACCAUGUGGAAAGGCACAGACAGCCAGGAGGUUGGCUUAGAAGCAGCCACCCUUUAAAGAAAGCGUAAUAGCUCACUGGUCGAGUCGGUCUGCGGGGAAGAUUUAACGGGGCUAAGCACAGAACCGAAGCUUGGGGUGUGCAUAUUUAUAUGUACGCGGUAGAGGAGCGUUCCGUAAGCCGUUGAAGGUGGAUUGAGAAGUCUGCUGGAGGUAUCGGAAGUGCGAAUGCUGACAUGAGUAACGAUAAUGCGGGUGAAAAACCCGCACGCCGAAAGCCCAAGGUUUCCUUGCGCAACGUUAAUCGGCGCAGGGUGAGUCGGCCCCUAAGGCGAGGACGAAAGUCGUAGUCGAUGGGAAGCAGGUUAAUAUUCCUGCACCUCGCGUAAGUGCGAUGGAGGGACGGAGAAGGUUAGGCAUACCGGGCGUUGGUUGUCCCGGGGAAAGGCGGUAGGUUUGGAUCUUUGGCAAAUCCGGGAUCCUUCAAGACCGAGCACCGAGACGAGCCUUUAUGGCGAAGUUGCUGAUACCACGCUUCCAGGAAAAGCUCCUAAGCUUCAGCUUACGCAGACCGUACCGUAAACCGACACAGGUGGGUAGGAUGAGAAUUCUCAGGCGCUUGAGAGAACUCGGGUGAAGGAACUAGGCAACAUGGCACCGUAACUUCGGGAGAAGGUGCACCCUUUUUGGUGGCUCAUGCGAGCUAUAGCUGAAGAGGGUCGCAGUAACCAGGCCGCUGCGACUGUUUAUCAAAAACACAGCACUCUGCAAACACGAAAGUGGACGUAUAGGGUGUGACGCCUGCCCGGUGCUGGAAGGUUAAUUGAUGGGGUCAGCCGCAAGGCGAAGCUCUUGAUCGAAGCCCCAGUAAACGGCGGCCGUAACUAUAACGGUCCUAAGGUAGCGAAAUUCCUUGUCGGGUAAGUUCCGACCUGCACGAAUGGCGUAACGACAGCGGCGCUGUCUCCACCCGAGACUCAGUGAAAUUGAAAUCGCUGUGAAGAUGCAGCGUUCCCGUGGCAAGACGGAAAGACCCCGUGAACCUUUACUAUAGCUUUACACUGAACGUUGAGUUCGUCUGUGUAGGAUAGGUGGGAGGCUAUGAAACCAUGGCGCUAGCUGUGG